UGCUGACGUCUGGCCAGCGGCGGCGGGAAGACGUAGGUUGCGAGCGUUAUCCGGAGUUACAUGUCGUAAAGCGCGGGCAUGUGGUUGAGUAAGUUGGGUGUGAAAUCUGUUGGCUUAACUGGGAGGGGACGCUCAAGGAUGCUUGGCUUGAGGUCGAGAGAGGGGUGCAGAAUUCCCGGUGUAGUGGUGGAAUGCGUAGAUAUCGGGAGGAAUACCAGUGGCGAAAGCGGCACCCUGGCACUGACCUGACGCUCAUGUGCGAAAGCGUGGGGAGCAAACGGGAUUAGAUACCCCAGUAGUC
rnacentral:rRNA from 1 species